UUUAGAAGAAGUCUUGUAGUAGGUGUAGAAGUAACCUGUGCUUUCACCCUAUUUCAAUCUUGGAUGGAGGGUGUGAUGUAUGGGUGACGCCAACCAACAAGAUGUAUAGAGGGCGCUGGUUCUUAAUCUGAAGGCGCCAAAAGUUUCAGUUUCCAAGAGGAAGACCGACAGAGAGGUCAUACGGAAGGCUCGUGGGAGCCAUUAAUGAAAACGAAAUUAACUUGUAUUACUUUAUAUAUUUCAGUUAUUAGUAUUGUAGUUUAUUAUUAAUUUUUUUUGUCUGUGAAAUAAAUGUUAAAAAUACAAAAGGGUGGAGUUAUUUCUCUAUGAGGCGGUGGAUGAAGAAAGGGAUGAUAUCACAGACAGCAUAAUGAGUCUUCUCCAUAAGGUUGUCUCAAGAAGUUGCCCGUACCUUCAAGCGGGUCGGCUUCUGUUCGAAAAGACAGAUACUUUCAUAAUUCACCUACAUAAAGAUAUAAAUCAGUGGAAAGAAUAUAGAAAGAUACCGACAUAAAAGUGCCCACACCUUUCUAUUUUUCUCAGGUUUUUAACUUGGACAGGUGCGGCCAAUUUUUUGUCGAGACGCUCUUAUGCAGUGCCAAUUCUCAUGUCCAUCACUGAUUAAUUAAUGAGGAUAGGAAUGCAAUAAAUCUUCGGCAUCUUUUUGAAGAAUCAUUUUACUUGUACAAAAGUGUUGACAUCUAUAUGAAAAAAGCUGGAGUGCAAUGCCGCACCAUUAUUAAAAACUCUGAACUCGCGUUAAAGUAUUAAGUUUUUGUUUCGGCGGCAGUAAUUUUUAAUUUCCAACUCGCUGCAUUGUGCGAGGAAUCCGAUACAGAAUACACUGAAUUUACAGGCGAAUGCAUUAUAAUGCAUAUAAUUAUUGUAUUUAAAUGAUUAACUCAGGCUUUUUUUUCCCAAAAUGGCGCUAGGGGCCCAACAAUGAAAAAAGCUUGUUUAUUGUAAAAAAAAAAAAAAAAAAAAAAAAAAAAAAAGGCGGUGUUGGUAUGUGUGAAAAAUGCAUUCUUAAUUUUCUGUUCUGUACCGAGAAAUCAGGCAUUACAUUUAUGAUGUACAAUAAAUGAAUGAAAUGCUAUCUUUGACAACUGUUCUGCAUUAUGUCUGGAUAAGAAAGGAA